GUGGUGGCUCAGUGGUAGAGUGCUUGCCUUGCAUGCAUGAGGCCCUGGGUUCGAUUCCUCAGCACCACA
rfam:Dipodomys ordii contig_95668, whole genome shotgun sequence.